CCUACGGGCGGCAGCAGUGGGGAAUAUUGGACAAUGGGGGCAACCCUGAUCCAGCCAUGCCGCGUGUGUGAAGAAGGCCCUCGGGUUGUAAAGCACUUUCAGUGAGGAAGAACGCCUGGUGGUUAAUACCCAUCAGGAAAGACAUCACUCACAGAAGAAGCACCGGCUAACUCCGUGCCAGCAGCCGCGGUAAUACGGAGGGUGCGAGCGUUAAUCGGAAUUACUGGGCGUAAAGCGCGCGUAGGUGGCUUGAUAAGCCGGUUGUGAAAGCCCCGGGCUCAACCUGGGAACGGCAUCCGGAACUGUCAAGCUAGAGUGCAGGAGAGGAAGGUAGAAUUCCCGGUGUAGCGGUGAAAUGCGUAGAGAUCGGGAGGAAUACCAGUGGCGAAGGCGGCCUUCUGGACUGACACUGCCACUGAGGUGCGAAAGCGUGGGUAGCAAACAGGAUUAGAUACCCGAGUAGUC
rnacentral:rRNA from 1 species